GUCCAACCUGCCCAGUGAACUAGUUUUUAACGGCCGCGGUAUCCUAACCGUGCAAAGGUAGCAUAAUCACUUGUCCCUUAAAUAGAGACUUGUAUGAACGGUUAAAUGAGGGCAUAACUGUCUCCUGUAGCCAAUCAAUGAAAUUGAUCUCACAGUACAAACGCUGUGAUGUAACUAUAAGACGAGAAGACCCUGUGGAGCUUUAAAUCCACCACAUUAACUAUAAUUAAAUUUACUAUAGCAUAAUGUAACUUUUAAGUUGGGGCGACUAUGGAGUAAAACUAAACCUCCAUGAAACACGACUAACCUCGUCAUUUAAGGCUUACAAGCCUAAUCAAAACCUACGACCCAGUCAAACUGAUCAACGAACCAAGUUACCCCAGGGAUAACAGCGCCAUCCCCUUAAAGAGUUCACAUCGCCAAGGGGGUUUACGACCUCGAUGUUGGAUCAGGACACCCAAGUGGUGCAGCAGCUACUAAAGGUUCGUUUGUUCAACGAG
rnacentral:rRNA from 1 species